rnacentral:rRNA from 1 species
GAUGAACGCUGGCGGCGUGCCUAACACAUGCAAGUCGAGCGGUGAAAAUUGGUUCUUGCCCCAAUUUGGAGGGCCGCGAACGGGUGGGUAAAGCGUGUGGGAUUUGCCUUUGAACAGGGGACCAAAUCUGGAAAAGAACGCUCAUAGCCCAUAAAAAACUUAAACAUAUGUUUCUAGUUUGAAAGAGGUAAUUGGUUAUCUCAAUGCUGAUUCCGCGUUUUAUUAGUUAGUUGGUGAGGGAAAAGCCCAACAAGGCGAUGAUACAUAGCCGACCUGAGAGGGUGAUCGGCCACAUUGGGACUGAGACACGGCCCAAACUCCUACGGGAGGCAGCAGUAGGGAAUCUUCGGCAAUGGACGAAAGUCUGACCGAGCAACGCCGCGUGAGUGAAGAAGGUUGUCGGAUCGUAAAACUCUGUUGGUAGAGAAGAACGUUGGUGAGAGUGGAAAGCUCAUCAAGUGACGGUAACUACCCAGAAAGGGACGGCUAACUACGUG